GUAGGCAUAGUUUAAAAAAANCAUUAGAUUGUGAUUCUAAAAAANGGGGUUAAANUCCCCUUGUCCACC
rnacentral:tRNA from 1 species